rfam:Felis catus isolate Cinnamon breed Abyssinian chromosome C1, whole genome shotgun sequence.
AUACAGGCUUUUCUAAAAGCCAAAUAUUCAAAAACAUACCCU